rnacentral:rRNA from 1 species
UACGGAGGGUGCGAGCGUUGUCCGGAUUUACUGGGCGUAAAGGGAGCGUAGGCGGACUUUUAAGUGAGAUGUGAAAUACCCGGGCUCAACUUGGGUGCUGCAUUUCAAACUGGAAGUCUAGAGUGCAGGAGAGGAGAAUGGAAUUCCUAGUGUAGCGGUGAAAUGCGUAGAGAUUAGGAAGAACACCAGUGGCGAAGGCGAUUCUCUGGACUGUAACUGACGCUGAGGCUCGAAAGCGUGGGGAGCAAACAGGAUUAGAUACCCCU